rnacentral:rRNA from 1 species
AUUGAACGCUGGCGGCAGGCUUAACACAUGCAAGUCGAGCGAGCGGCGGACGGGUGAGUAAUGUCUGGGAAACUGCCUGAUGGAGGGGGAUAACUACUGGAAACGGUAGCUAAUACCGCAUACCAUCAGAUGUGCCCCGAGGGGAUUAGCUAGUAGGUGGGGUAAUGGCUCACCUGGGAGACGAUCCCUUGCUGGUCUGAGAGGAUGACCAGCCACACUGGAACUUAGACACGGUCCAGACUCCUACGGUAGGCAGCAGUGGGGAAUAUUGCACAAUGGGCGCAAGCCGUAUGCAGCCAUGCCGCUGGUUUGAAGAAGGCCUUCGGGUUGUAAAGCACUUUCAGCGAUGAGGCGUUACUCGCAGAAGAAGCACCGGCUAACUCCGUGCCAGCAGCCGCGGUAAUAC